UACGUAGGGGGCAAGCGUUGUCCGGAAUUAUUGGGCGUAAAGCGCGGCGCAGGCGGUCAAUUUAAGUCUGGUGUUUAAGGCUGGGGCUCAACCCCAGUUCGCACUGGAAACUGGUUGACUUGAGUGCAGAAGAGGAAAGUGGAAUUCCGCGUGUAGUGGUGAAAUGCGUAGAGAUGCGGAGGAACACCAGUGGCGAAGGCGACUACCUGGCCUGUUCGUUGACGCUGAGGCGCGAAAGCUAGGGGAGCAAACGGG
rnacentral:rRNA from 1 species